rnacentral:rRNA from 1 species
UACCGAGGAUGCGAGCGUUAUCCGGAUUUAUUGGGUUUAAAGGGUGCGUAGGCGGACUGUCAAGUCAGCGGUAAAAUUGAGAGGCUCAACCUCUUCCCGCCGUUGAAACUGGUGGUCUUGAGUGGAUGAGAAGUACGCGGAAUGCGUGGUGUAGCGGUGAAAUGCAUAGAUAUCACGCAGAACUCCGAUUGCGAAGGCAGCGUACCGGCAUCCAACUGACGCUGAGGCACGAAAGCGUGGGGAUCAAACAGG